UCCGCCGCGAGGCGGAAUCUGAAGGAAGCUUAAGGCAAAUGCACGAGCCAAGGUACACGAACUGGAUUCGAGGCAGGGUUAGCCGGAUGAGUCACCAACACAUGACGAAAUCCCAAGUCGCCAAAGGCUAUCUUUGUAAACUCCAGUGGUUGCGGGCAGAAAGAUGACGUU
rnacentral:ncRNA from 1 species